CGUCUCUCCGUUGGCCCCGUCGCUGAGAUAAUCCACUGUCCAUUGGCUCGCACGCUCGCUCUGCCCGCCGCCGCCAUCACUCACCCGCACGCCGCUCGCCGCUCGCCGUGAUUGCUGCCGGCGCUCUCCAGUCUGCUCCAGCGGCGCCACCACCGCCUCCACUCUGCGCGCCGCUGCAUCCGCGCCCCCUGCGCCAGUGAUUGGGGUGUAAGCUAGACCUGAGGGACGAGCAACAAGUUAGCCUUGAGCAGGUUAUAGCGCCCAUCAUGCAGUCGUUCCGUGAGAUUGAGACCUGCAUUGAGUGCUCCGCUCUUCGUUAGAUCCAGGUGCCUGAGGUCAGUGCUUCACCCAACAACACCUCUCUUUGAUCAAGAGGCGCAAUCUCUCAAGCCACGCUGUGUUAGAGCUUUGAAGCAGUAUUCAUAAUAUGUUAUCCUGACAAGGAUGGUACUCUCAGUGACGUGGAGCUCAAAGAAUUUCAGCCUACUGAAAUUUCAGGUGUGAAGAGAGUUGUUCAAGAGAAGAGGCCUGAAGGCGUGAAUGAAAAAGGACUUACCUUGACCAGGUUCCUUUUUCUGCAUGCUCUUUUUAUUGAAAAAGGUCGACUGGAAACUACAUGGCCAGUAUUGAGGAAAUUUGGUUAUGAUAAUGACCCCAAGCUUAGGGAUGAUCUCAUUG